GCCCCUGUCGUUCAACGGAUAGGACGGAGGUUUCCUAAACCUUAAAUCCAGGUUCGAUUCCUGGUGGGGGCA
rnacentral:tRNA from 1 species